CCUACGGGAGGCAGCAGUAGGGAAUAUUGCUCAAUGGGGGAAACCCUGAAGCAGCAACGCCGCGUGGAGGAUGAAGGUGUUCGGAUUGUAAACUCCUUGGGUUAGAGAAGAGAAUGACGGUAGCUAACGAAUAAGAACCGGCUAACUCCGUGCCAGCAGCCGCGGUAAUACGGAGGGUGCAAGCGUUCCUCGGAAUCACUGGGCGUAAAGAGCGCGUAGGCGGGAUAGCAAGUCAGAUGUGAAAUCCUAUGGCUUAACCAUAGAACUGCAUUUGAAACUGUUAUUCUAGAGUAUUGGAGAGGUAGGUGGAAUUCUUUGUGUCGUGGUCAACUCCGU
rnacentral:rRNA from 1 species